UGAUACCUCAAUUUUGUACUUGUCAACUAUGUUUUGCCUAGAAACCUCUGAAGGUGGAGCCGGUCACCGUGAGUCAACAGCUAGUCUUCACCUUAACUAUCGUCUUCCGAAUAUUUAAUAAAGCAUAUUAUUAUCUUCCAUCAUAUGUGGAUAGAAUCCACUCUUACUUUUCAAAGUUGGCUUAUUCAAUAAUGCGAAGUAUUUGAUACGUUCGUUAAUUAUCUUGGGCACGGGAGGAAUAGUUCCCUUCAAGAAUGGUUCGGUAAAAAUCAUGGUGGCUAUAAGUAAGAGCGGUGGAUAGGAGGAGAGCAUAACCUGUUAGUCACAUAGAUUUCCAAGAUGAAUUCGAAGGCCUUUCUUCUCGCAUGCAUUCUCUUAGCUACCAUCGUCUUCUCUCCCCUGUCCACUUGCACUGCUCGAGAAUUGGCCGAGCGAGACGUAGGAACUCGGAACCCCAAUAAACCAGUGUUCAGUUGCGGAAGGGGUAAUCGAUAUUGCGUAAGUGGCAAACCACCAAAACGUUGCCCUCCUUACAAGCGUAAUUGUUAGAAGCAAGCAAAGUUGAGUGCUUAAAAGUAUGGAGAGCUAUCUUUAUCAAUAUGUAAAAUGAUGAGAACUAUUUAUGUGAGAAAAAUAAGUAGAGUUCUCCAGUGGAUUAGAAGAAGCAAGCAAAGGUGUGAAGUAUGGGAACUAUUUAUGUGAGAAAAAUAAAUGAAGUUCUUAGUGAGUUUCAUGGUA